GGAUACCUUCCACCAUGGGACGACCCCUGCCAGAUGUGAGCACCGUGCUGUUGGACUUCCCAGUCUCCAGAACUACCAGAUGGCACAAAAGACCCUACGACUACCAGAUUGCUGAAGAUGGAAUGUUAUGUAUACCUUUCCUUAAAAGGAACAAGUUGCAACCAAUCAUAUUGCUGCAAUUCAUAAACCAGCCUUGCAUGAGAAAUGUAAUCCUGCUAAACUUCUUUGUUUCCACCUGUCCCUAGCGCAGAGAUGGACUCUCUCUCUGGAAUUUCCUUAUCUGACCAAGAAAGCUUCUCACCAAAAGAAACAGAAUUGCCUUCUAUCCCCUCUGUCACCGCACUGUGGAUUGUAGAAAAGAAGACUGGAGAAUGCAACCGCACCUGAUGGACUGUCCCGCAAAACAAAGCCUGCCUCUCAGGCUCAUUCAAAUCCCAAA